GCCAGGCGUCGUGGUGGGCGCCUGUAAUCCCAGCUACUCAGGAGGUUGAGGCAGAAGAAUUGCUUGAACCCUGGAGGCAGAGGUUGCAGUGAGCUGAGAUUGUGCCACUGCACUCCAGCCUGGGUGACAGAGCAAGACUCUGUCUCAA
rnacentral:SRP_RNA from 1 species